AUGCUCACUUUGGCAGCACAUAUACUAAAAUUGGAACAAUCGAGAGAAGAUUAGCAUGGUCCCUGCGCAAGAAUGACAUGCAAAUUCGCCAAGCAGUCCAUAUUUAA